GAAUAGAAUAGAAGAGAACAGAAUCAAAGAGAGAUCUUGAGGAAUGAAUCUUGCUCAGUAUUCGAUUUAUAUGUAUUCACACAAUUUUCUUUCUUUCUUUCUUUCUACCUUUUUCCUCUUU
rnacentral:ribozyme from 14 species